GUCAGACAGGUAACAAUACUUGGCCAGAGGGAAAAGCAUCUUUUACUUCUAGUUCAGAAAAAGGCAAGCAGCCAUUUAUAAGCUUCAGGUUUUAACCAGUGUAGCUAGCUGUACCGCUAAGAAUCAAAGCCUUGUGCUGGAACAUGACUGACAAGUAGGUGAGCACUGAAAGGUCUCUAGAAGCCUAAUGAUUUGGAUGCUAAGGAACCUUCUCCACUGAAGACUCUUCAUACCUGGUAAUAAGUAGUAAUAAAUAAUUCUAUCAAACAUUGAUUGCAGGUUUUGCUCUUCUGAGAUAUGAACAGACCAGGUGGUCAUUCCUACCAGGGAGAAGUGAGGCUCAGUGGCUGUCCCGGGCAAGGAGACAAAAAAAGCCACUUCAAGUAGUUCAGCUAGUCGCAAAUCAGAAUCAAGUCUGCAGAACAUCACAGACAUGGAGAUGAGAGAAAUGCAGCUGAGUUGAACGUUGAGGGUGUGAAAACUUCAGGAAGUUGCUAGAAGAUCUACAGAAAGGAAACAAGCAAAACUCAUCACUGCUACCAAGAGGAGGAGAGUUACAGAUGCUCAGGAUUUGAGUACAACGGAACAGGAAUGGAGCUAAACAGAUCCAACACCUGAAAGGAUGAUUGGAUCUCAAAAUAUGAAAGACCCUUCAUUCAAUAAAGCAACAGGAUUGGCUCUGAGGAGAGGAAAGAGCCAGCAUGGACAGUAUUCAAGACACAAUGUUCAAAAGUUGCUGCUGGGAUGGAAGCAAAGAAGAAAGCCCUGGAGACAGGUUAGUGCUGGGACACAGGCACUAUCCUGGAGGGGCCUGGGACAGGGUGUGUAACCAUAGCGACCAGCGGGUCCUUUCCCCACUGUGGUCCUGGCUCGCAUGCACAGGGUGAAACCGAUCGCCGUGUUUGGGGUCGGGAAGGAAUUUUCCUCCAGGGCAGAUUGGCCAG